rnacentral:piRNA from 2 species
UGGUAGACAAUGAGGCCAUCUAUGAC